CCGGCCCGCCGGCUGCCGGGCCCGGUGCGCGGAGGACGCGGGCAGAGCGGCGGCAGGAAGGAGCAGCCGCAGACCCUGCCUUUAAAAGGGACAGGCCUCCCUGCAGCGCUGGGGUGGACGUGCCUGCGCUAGCAGGCUGAAGAGGGAGGAUGGAAAAGGGAGUGAUCCUGGACCCUGAAAGGAUGCUCUCCAAACCCCAGAGAAAUCCAAGGAAAGGUUCCUUUGAUGAUGGGGAGUUAUCAGAGAAGACAUGGGCUGGCGAUUCCUGCAGAUGUGUCUUACAGCUGAAGGAGAGAAAAUAGAAAACAGCAACAACAGAGGCAAACUUUCAUCAGAGAGCAAGACAGCAGAACUCAGUCAGCAGAACACCUGGGCAGGCUCUUCCAUGUGUGGCUGUAUUGGAACCUAUAGGAGGAAUGCAUUGGCAUAGGUCUACAUUACAGAUAAGAUACUUAGCAAAGUUCUUCAGCUUAUCAAAGUU